rnacentral:lncRNA from 1 species
AGAGAAAAAAAAACCUCAAUUUAAACUAUUUUUCUGCUAUAAAGAAGAGUAUUCGAAGUAAUUUCUUCGACAAAUAUUUUUUUUUGAAAAAAAAACACACUGAUUUGAAGCUUUUUAUUUUUCAAAAAGUAUAUUUGAUGCCCAACUGAAAUAUAACUUCUCAAACCAGAAAAAGGCAUCACAUAAGACAUUUGAGUGGGAAGAAGAUAUCUCCACAAGUUCCCAUCUUUAUCCCCUUCACACACACAGAAUUUUGCUAAUUUGCUAAGGACAAAAAAAAGAUAUAAAAUUACAUUGUACACCAUCUUGUCACCACAGAUGUUCUUGUCUAGCAAAAUCUACACGAAAACAGUUCCCCUCCUGUGGAGCCCCCUCUCAAUUUCUUUUAUUA